UGCGUAGGCGGUACGUUAAGUCAGUGGUGAAAUCCUUCCGCUCAACGGGAGAACUGCCAUUGAUACUGGCGUACUUGAGUAUGGACGAGGUAGGCGGAAUUUAUGGUGUAGCGGUGAAAUGCAUAGAUACCAUAAAGAACACCGAUAGCGAAGACAGCUUACUAGACCAUAACUGACGCUGAGGCACGAAAGCGUGGGGAGCGAACAGGAUUAGAUACCCUGGUAGUCC
rnacentral:rRNA from 1 species